AGACAGCCAGGAGGUUUGCCUAGAAGCAGCCACCCUUGAAAGAGUGCGUAAUAGCUCAUUGAUCGAGCGCUCUUGCGCCAAAGAUGAACAGGGCUAAGCGGUCUACCGAAGCUAUGGGAUGUAAAAAUACAUUGGUAGGAGAGCGUUCCGCCUUAGAGAGAAGCCUCCGCGCGAGCGGUGGUGGACGAAGCGGAAGCGAGAAUGUCGGCUUGAGUAACGCAAACAUUGGUGAGAAUCCAAUACCCCGAAAACCUAAGGGUUCCUCCACAAGGUUCGUCCACGGAGGGUGAGUCAGGGCCUAAGAUCAGGCCGAAUGGCGUAGUUGAUGGACAACAGAUGAAUAUUCCUGUACUACCCCUUGUUAGUCUCGAGGGACGGAGGAGGCUAGGUUAGCC